rnacentral:lncRNA from 1 species
UUCAUUUCAUUAUUUCAUUUCACCAUUUCAUCAUUUCAUUUCAUCAUUUCAUUUCAUUUCAGUGAUACAUAUAUUUAAGUGCUAAUGUGAUGCCCAGGAGACAUCCUACUUCCCUUUGUAAAAUACCUCCUUCAACAAAAGGCAACCUCUCAUGGCUGGCUAAGUCUACAGGGAUACCAGGCUCUCCUCAACCACCCAAUUUGAUUUAGAACCUCAAACAGCACCUCAGUUUCAUGAAAACCUAACACAUAAACACAACACUUGGUUGUAAGUGAGCCAACAGCUUCUUGUCUCUUUCUCUGCUCAAGGCUUAAGGCCGUGUCUCCCCAACUACGUUCAGUGGAAGAAAAGAUCCCCUGGACAAAUAAGUUUGAGGACUGUCAUUGCAGGACUUCUCAGAACCUUUAAAACACAAAUCCUCAUCCGCAGGGAUCUUCAGGAGGGAGACGGCUGAUGCAGCACAACUUUCUUUCACAGGAGCAUCUUGCAGAAUACACUGUCCUGAGAGCACGUCUCUACAUCUAUACCUGCAUUCUGGAAUCAGGGAGAAAGCCAAAACGGAUGACAAGACACUAGGUCAGCCGCCUCCAACCCUUUGACUACAAGGACUUUUCCACCUAUCUGUGGUGGCAACCCCUUGAGGUCAAGACCCCACAAUCAGAUGAGGAUGGAGUGGCUCACCCUCAGUCAACAGGCCAGACUCAAGGGGUUCCAGGCAAGUCAGUUCUCCCUCAGGCCUUCGGUUUCCUCACCCACAAGAUGAGAGGGCUGGACCAGAUGGAAAUUCAGGGGGUAAGGUGAUGUCCGCUCGCAGCCCACCUCGCCCAUGGGCCCCUCAAGCCUCCCUGCCAGUUCCCACGACGCACCCGCCCCACAGAUCCUGCCCAAGGCUAUUAAAAAGCACCCAGGUAUGCUGGCAAAUUGACAAAGCACUCUGUGCAUAACCACGAAAAACACAUUUUCUUAAAGACCCAAGAAGACCCUCAUUUUCAGCACUGGCUGACCUUCAGGCUCAGCUCAGCAGAAAGUGAAGACUGAAGCAAAGUUUUCAACAGUCUGCACAUGUGUUAAAGGAACGCCCCAGCCCAGAGCCAUCCACAAAAACUGGAAGAAUCCGUCAGUUUGUCUUUGUCUCAGUUUUGUCAUAUAGACCUUUGUGACACACAGAUCUAUAUACAAUGGAAACUACAAAUUUCUAAUGAAAGAGCCAUGAAAGAUCACAAAAGAUCUUAAUAAAUAGAAAGACAUUUAAUGUGCAUGAUCAUAAAAUCUCAAUAUUGUCAAGAUAUAAUUUCUCCCCAAUUUGAGUUAUAGGCAAGAGAGUCACAUCAUCUAGGUGAUUGGCCAAACAUAUGUCACAAUCCCUUCCAUUGACAGCUCCCAAAAAAGGAGUUACAUCACCUAGGUGCUCAGCUCUGAGAUGUGUCACAACAUUGCCCAAUACAGGCAGGCCACAGGCGGGAGAGUCACAUUUCCUGGGUGCUUGGCCCAGUGGUAUGUCACAUUUCCUUAUGUAGGAAGGGCACACGUAGCAAGAGAGAGUCACAUUACCUAGGUACUGUGCUAGAGCUAUCAGUCUCUGUGUCGUUCAAUGUGAGAGUUAUGAUCUCUUUAGACAUCCAUGUAACAGAGCCUCAACUCCUUCAUCCUCAGAUGUAAAGGCUAGUGAAGACCAAAUAAGCCUUGAAAGGCUGGAGCCCAUGCGAGGGUCUGCAGUCUUUGUUCCGGAUGGGGAACUACUGCUUCAGCUGGUUACCCAGGUGUCCCCGAUGGGGAAAGGAAGGAAAUGGUGAGAAUCUUCAGCACAACGGAUCACAUCACCCUGGCAGAGACCAGUCCGGCCUGCGCAUGGCACCAGCAGCCGCAGGCUAGAGGCAGUCAUGUCAGGCCUCCUCCAUACAGCAUCUCUCCUGCUUUUUUUUCAAACGGUCCUAAUCACUUAAUUUGGUCAUCUUCCCUGUCACAAUGGGGCACCUGGCGCUAUAGACACUUGGGAAACACACAGAUCUGGGGUCCUACAGUGUCCAGGUGAAGACGCCGGGAGUCAGAGAGGAAAGUCUUUUGAAGCCUCCAAAAGGAAUGCACAGGACCCCACUUGAAGAGGUGGAGUGCCCAGUGGCGGAUACAGGCCCCACACAUCGCAGCAGUAAACAGGUAAGGCGCUCCCUGGCCCAUGCCUGUUUCCUGGAAACUGAAGCCAUGCCCAGGCUGGGAGUCACCAUUCCAGAAACAGAAUAAGCUGUUGGGCUGGCUACCUCACCCAGCACCCGGCCACGCCAGAGAGAAUCUUGGAUGCUGCUUUCCCACAGGCUGUAGUGCCUUCCAAGUUAGGCCACCCUAAUAACAGUUCUCCCACAGGGACUCCACGGUGUCCAGCUCUCCAGCCUGGGGUUUCUCAUCACCCAGUGAUUC